GAUGAACGCUGGCGGCGUGCCUAACACAUGCAAGUCGAGCGAACAGACGAAGAGUUUGCUCGUCAGACGAUAGCGGCGGGCGGGUGAGUCACACGGGUGUAACCUACCGAUAAGACUGGGAUACCUGCGGGAAACCGGAUCUAACCGCGGAUAAUAUUGGUAACGGUGUGGUUCUGUAGUGAAUGUCGGGUUUGGUGUGACUUAUCGAUGUAUCCGCGCGGCGGUAGCGAGUUGGUGUGGUAACGCCUUACCGAGGCGACGGGGCGUAGCCGGGCUGAGAGGGUGAGCGGCCACACUGGAACGGAGACACGGUCCAGACCUCUGCGGGAGGCAGCAGUAGGGAAUCUUGCAGAAGGGGCGAAAGCCUGACGGAGCACCGCCGCGUGAGUGAUGAAGGUCGUCGGAUCGUAAAACUCUGUCAUUAGGGAAGAACAAAUGUGUAAGUACCUAUGCACGUCUUGACGGUACCUAAUCAGAAAGCCACGGCUAACUACGUG
rnacentral:rRNA from 1 species